GCGAAGAUGCCCCACGCCCCGCUUGGUCGCUGCGUCCAUCCUCGGGGACUCGGAGGCUUGCGAGAAGGGCCACCGGGAAGGUCCAGCUGCGGGGGCACCGGGUGUAGGCUCUGCCUCGGGGCGGCCCGGCGGCCGCACACAAGCGCCGCGCCGGCCCCACACAGCCUCGGGCAGGGCAGGGACAGGGGUGCCGCCUCAGCGCGGAGUCGCGGGGCGGGGAAAUGGCGGCGCCUCAGGGGGCUGCGCUCCCGCGGGGAGCUGGGCUGGGGGCGAGUGGGAGCGGGUGUGUGUGUGUGUGUAUGUGUGCGGGGGUGUGUGUGUGUGUGUGUGUGUGUGUGUGUGUGAAGGGCGGGUUCCGCGCCGGGGGGGCGUAUGGCUGUGCCUUGCGGUGAACUCUGUCAGAGAGGUGCCCGUGUGCCGGAGGCGCAGAACGGGGCGUCUGCGGACGGGUGAGCCCGGCGAGGGGGCGGCGUGCGGUGGGUGCGUGUGCUGAGAGGUGCGCGGUGUGUGUGGGGUGAGUGCGUGUGUGUGUGUGUGUGUGUGUGUGUGAGUGUGUGUGUAACUGCGUGAGCGUGUGCCAGCGUGCAGGAGUGCGAAAGUGCACGCGUGUGGAUGUGCCUGUGCGGGUGUGUGCGGUUCUGCGCUGUGUGCGGGGGCGGCGCGGCCGCGGGGGCGCAGGGCGGGGGGUCGCAGGGGCGGGUCGGUGCACUAAGACAGCCUGGCGGCCCCCGCCUGACUGACGCCGCCCGGGGCUGCUGCCGCCCCGCUCCCGCCCGCGGCGCGCCGAGACCCCAGAUCUCAAAGCCGGAGCUCCCGCCCGCGUCCCGGAAAUGUCGGAGGGGGUGGCAGGGGGAAAGGAGAGCAGUCCCGCCGCCGUCGCCCCAUACUUCGCGCCGGGGCUGCCCCGCGUCUUUCCCCGCGCUGGGCCGUGCAAAACCUCAUUGGGAGACUGGACAAGUACUUGAAGGAGGGAUCCACUGGCAUCAGAUAUCAGACUGAGGACAUAAGCGGACUGGAAACAGCUGGGAGCACACCGGUCUUCACACUGUAAUUGAGCAACAAAAUUAUAGGAGAUGAGAGAAGAUGCCUCUAAGUUUAUACUGUCCUAUCUGUAUUUUGAGCUGAUAUUUCUGCUUUAUCCUCCUUAAAGGAUUGAACUUGACAUCCAAACGUCAGACUUGAACAUCUUAGUCAUAAGGUCCACCAUUAGUAUCUAUCAUGGGCUCAAAAUUUCCUUGCAAAGAAGUUAGAGACUUCUGUUUUAAAAAAUAGAUGUUUAUGCUGCCAUACAGAUACAUAUUACUUCUGAAAAAAACCACCAGGUACCAACUUUAAGAUACAAAAACAUUUUAUUUUUGAGGAGGAUAAUUUUUUUAGAAGGUAUUAUGGUAAAACCCAAGACUUUCUGUCUUUAAGUAAAAGUUGUAUAGUAUAGUACACUUCCACUGUGCAUGAAAGCAUGCCCAGUCCCUUGGAAGCAGAAAAGUUUUUCCCCUUGUAGAAGCUAAGUAACACCUCAGACUUGCUCUCCCUUAUAUUUGGUGUGUUGAAACAUAUAAUGAUGUGUAACUGGCACCAUUUCAGUUUCUUUAAGCUUAUUCAGCCAUUACUGCUCUGAAAACCACAAAAGACAAGGCAAAGCAUUACAAGCAUUACAAAUGCCCUUCUGUUGUCUUCAUUUUGGGAGCAGUCCAGAUGGAAAGAUUCUACUCAAAAGACCAGCUUUGGACCAGUCUGGGCAAGGGACUGUGUGUUUGGCAAAAGCUACGAAUGGCCAGGUCUGGCAUUGCUAAGAGGAGCAGUGGUCACUGCCAACAUUUCUCUUUUACUUCACUUUCUCUAAUCAGCUCAGAAUUAAUAGGCAACAGCCCUGAAUUUGGGACUAGAAGCAACAAAUAAUUUUCUCUCUUGCCUUCUUGUAUGCUACUCCAAUCAGCUCUUCCUCCCAUAUUAGCAGAUACACACAGUGACCAGCAGUAAAUUAUUAAUUUAGCUGGCUUUGCUGCUUCUCUGGAAUUCCUGAACUGCAUCCUUUUUUUUUUCAGGAAAUGUGCCCAAGAAUUUUACAAACUAUAAAACUAAUCCUAAUACUGCACUGAAAUAAGAGUUACUAUGAUGAGUAUUUUCACUGCUGGAGACAGCAAAAAACCUAAAAAAUAUUCAACCUCUACAAUAUUCAAUCUUUACACUGGUGUCUUUUAUCAGUGUAA